UCUUCAAUAUCUUGCAUGUUACAGAUUUCACUGCUCCCACCAGCUUGGAGACAACAUGUGGUUCUUGACAGUUCUGCUCCUUUGGGUUCCAGUUGAUGGGCAAGUGGAUACCACAAAGGCAGUGAUCACUUUGCAGCCUCCAUGGGUCAGCGUGUUCCAAGAGGAAACCGUAACCUUACAGUGUGAGGUUUUCCAUCCGCCUGGGAGCAGCUCUACACAGUGGUUACUCAAUGGCACAGCCACUCAGACCUUGACCCCCAGCUACAGAAUCACCUCUGCCAGUGUCAAUGACAGUGGUGAAUACAGGUGCCAGAGAGGUCUCUCAGGGCAAAGUGACCCCAUACAGCUGGAAAUCCACCGAGGCUGGCUACUACUGCAAGUCUCCAGCAGAGUCUUCACGGAAGGAGAACCUCUGGCCUUGAGGUGUCAUGCAUGGAAGGAUAAGCUGGUGUACAAUGUGCUUUACUAUCGAAAUGGCAAAGCCUUUAAGUUUUUCCACUGGAAUUCUAACCUCACCAUUCUGAAAACCAACAUAAGUCACAAUGGCACCUACCAUUGCUCAGGCAUGGGAAAGCAUCGCUACACAUCAGCAGGAGUAUCUGUCACUGUGAAAGAGCUAUUUCCAGCUCCAGUGCUGAAUGCAUCUGUGACAUCCCCACUCCUGGAGGGAAAUCUGGUCACCCUGAGCUGUGAAACAAAGUUGCUUCUGCAGAGGCCUGGUUUGCAGCUUUACUUCGCCUUCUACAUGGGCAGCAAGACCCUGCGAGGCAGGAACACAUCCUCUGAAUACCAAAUACUAACUGCUAGAAGAGAAGACUCUGGGUUAUACUGGUGCGAGGCCGCCACAGAAGACGGAAAUGUCCUUAAGCGCAGCCCUGAGUUGGAGCUUCAAGUGCUUGGCCUCCAGUUACCAACUCCCGUCUGGUUUCAUGUCCUUUUCUAUCUGGCAGUUGGAAUAAUGUUUUUAGUGAACACUGUUCUCUGGGUGACAAUAUGUAAAGAACUGAAAAGAAAGAAAGAGUGGAAUUUAGAAAUCUCUUUGGAUUCUGGUCAUGAGAAGAAGGUAAUUUCCAGCCUUCAAGAAGACAGACAUUUAGAAGAAGUGCUGAAAUGUCAGGAAGAAGAAGAACAGCUGCAGGAAGGGGUGCACCGGAAGGAGCCCCAGGGGGCCAAGUAGCAGCGGCUCAGUGGGUGGCCAUCGAUCUGGACCAUCCCCUGCCCACUUCCUCCCCGUGAGCACUGCGCACAAACAUCCAAAAGUUCAACAACACCAGAACUGUUUGUCUCAUGGGAACAGCCUUUGGUUUUAUAAAUUCCAUUUUGGUGGAAUAGGAAGACUGUAACCAAAUGUGACGGGGGUGGGGGGGGGCGGGGGGGAGGGUCUCCACACAGCAAGCAAGCAAUCAGUUCUGCAGUGGACACCAGCUGAGUGUACUCCAGUUGAAUUUUUACACUAUUUAUCAGGAGAUCCCACAGGUUGAGGGCUGAGUCUACCAGACUGCCCCCACUUCAAAUGCCAGUUGCAAGUCUGGGCCUCCAGAACUUCUGACCAACUAUUUCCAAGCUGGGGUUCCUAUGGCUUCCUCCUUUGCAUUGUAUUAAUUUGCUAGAGCAGCUCAUGAAAUUCAGAGAAACACUUGCGUUUACUGGUUUAUAACAAAAAUUACAGAUGAAAAGACGCAUAAGGCAAAGUAUGGGGGAAGGAGCAUGCACCUCUGCUGGGUGCACUGCCCUUCAGGAACCUCUACAUGUUCAGCUAUCCAGAAGCUCUCCAAGCCCUGUCCUUUUGGGUCUUUAUGGAGGCUCCAUUACAUAGGCAUCACUGAUUAAACUAUUGGCCAUUGGUGAUCGGCUUAACCUUCAGCCCCUCUCCCCUCCCCGGAAGUUGGAGGUGGGCUGAAAGCCCCAACUCUCUAAUCCUCCCCUUGUUCUUUCUGGUCACCAGCCCCCAUCCUGAAGCUACCUAGGGGGCUGCCAGACAUCAGUCAACUCAUUAAUAAACAAAAAGACAUCACUUUGGUGUUUCUAAGGAUUUUAGGAGCUGUAUGUCAGGAAAUGGGGUUGAAGACCAAAUAUGUAUUUCAUAAUAG